CUCCGCGGGCCUCUCUCCAGCUCGGAUGAUGAUGGAAAGCAGAAGAAUGCAGGAAUGUGGAGGGAGAUGAUCAUCCUGGUUGCUCACUGCAACGGUAUCAGUGACUCAGCUGACCCAUAAGGAAGACUCGUCUGAUACAUCGCAGAAGGACAGAGGUGGAGGAG